UACUUUAAACAUGGAUGUCUAG
rnacentral:siRNA from 1 species